rnacentral:rRNA from 1 species
ACGAACGCUGGCGGCAUGCCUCACACAUGCAAGUCGAACGAGACCUUCGGGUCUAGUGGCGCACGGGUGCGUAACGCGUGGGAACCUGCCCUUAGGUUCGGAAUAACUCCCCGAAAGGGGUGCUAAUACCGGAUAAUGUCUUCGGACCAAAGAUUUAUCGCCUUUGGAUGGGCCCGCGUUGGAUUAGCUAGUUGGUAGGGUAAAAGCCUACCAAGGCGACGAUCCAUAGCUGGUCUGAGAGGAUGAUCAGCCACACUGGGACUGAGACACGGCCCAGACUCCUACGGGAGGCAGCAGUGGGGAAUAUUGGACAAUGGGCGAAAGCCUGAUCCAGCAAUGCCGCGUGAGUGAUGAAGGCCUUAGGGUUGUAAAGUUCUUUUACCCGGGAUGAUAAUGACAGUACCGGGAGAAUAAGCUCCGGCUAACUCCGUG